UGCUCCUUGGAAACAGAAAGUUUGACCAACAGGCUAUUCAUCUGUGUGGCUCUCCUUGAAGGUGAUGGAUGCCUGCUGAGUCACUGCCAUGGCCCAAAUCUCUGCCCUGCACAGCACAUUAAAGCAGAAAAUAUUGACUCCACCUGGCCUCCAUCCGGCAACACCCAGGAACUGUCAAACCAGUUUGGGUCUUUUUGGCCUCCUUUUAUAGUCAUGGUCCUAGGAGGGAAUGUGCCAAGUGUAUUGGAGACUUAAAUAAUCUAUUCAUUUUAAACAUUCACAGAACUGGGGCAUUUUCUAUACUUGUGCUAAUGUUCCCACUGUUAACUUAUCAUUAAAUUGGAUGAAAGAUUAAGCCUUGCUAUUAACUUAUUUAAUCCUUAACUGAUAUUUAAUUGUUAUUUCAGAGGGUGGGGGAGCCACUGGCUAUUUAGUCAGCAGUUGCUAGUGCUCUCAAGGACUAGUGUGUGCUAGGUCAAGAUGGAGACUAGCCAUAGUGGCUUAUUGGCAGGCGCCCUAGUUACAGGGCUUGUAUACCAGUGCACAGCUGUUUCUGUUUAGUUUAGGAUUAUCUUUAAGAUGUGUUAUUUUUUUCCGCUGUUUCCUUAGAUUAUUCAUGAAUGAAGACAGUGAUUUGAUGCAUGUAAAAUAUGAUUGACUGUCUUUAUUGUUUCCUCAAAAGUGAACACAGGGUAGGGAGAUGAGAGAUGAAAGGAAGAGGUUGGUAAAGAGUGUGAAAGAAGAGGGUGGAAAAAACAAAGGGAUAGAAAGGUGGAAAGAGGCAGAGGAGAGAAAACCCCAACAAUUCCUUCUGAACAAGCACUAUAUAGACAACAGUGGGGAGGAAAAACUCCUUUUAAACAGGAAGAAACCUCCAAAAGAACCAGGCUGAGGAAGGGACAGUCAACUGCCAGGACUAGAUGGGGGGUGAGGGUGAAAAAAGAAAGAAAAAGAAAAGGGAUGAAGAGGAAGGGGUGAACGAAGAGAGGUGAUAGGAGAGAAAGGGAGAGAGGGGAGAGGAGAGGUGGAGGAGGAAGCAGGAGGGUCCUUCCUGAAAAAGUGGAAGCGUUUUUUCUUCUUUCUCAGGCACUGUUCCUGGAGCUCUUUUAUGUGAAGGAUGAGAUUUUUUAUGUCAUCGAUUGUUUCUGCAUUUUGCUUCUCAAGUUUCUUGAGUCUUUUCUCCAGUUCUUAAAUGUUGCUUCUUUUUCUUUUAGUUCUUUAGAUUUUGCCUCCUGUAUUAGCUUUGCCUCAUGCAUGUCUGUAUUCCUCCGUUGUACUUCAUUGUAAAUGUCUUCUAACUCCUGAAUUCUCCUCUGCAUUUCAUUGAACCUACACUGCAUCUCUGAGCAUUGUUUUUGCAGUUUUUCCUUUUUUCCUUCUAGUUCAAUGGUUUUGUCCUUCUUUUUGUUAUAACAUACUUGUAGUUCUAGAUUUUUCCUCUCAGUCUUGGAGAACAAGUUGCAUUAUUUUCUGUAUUUCUUGCUGUUGCACUUUUUCUUGACGCAUUUCUGCAUUUUUAUGCAGUGCUUCAUCAAGUGUUAUUAGAAGCAAUUGGUGUUUUUCAUCCAUGUCUUGGAGUUUAUGCUCCGUUUGUUUCUGUUUUAUUUCCAGUUGUUUCUUCUGUUGAAGAAACUUUUUUCCCCAGCGCUUCAUCAAGUUUUACUUGUAGCUCCUGGUUGUUUUUCCUCUGUGUCUUGGAGAUUCCACUGUAUCUGCUCAUUAACAGCUUGUGUGUCUUCAAGCUCGUAAGACAUUUCUCUUAAUUGAGUACAGUUUUUCUUGUUUUCUCUCAUCAGGUCUCUAAUCUGCUGGCGUGCUUGACCAAACAUUAUUCCCCAGCCCUCAUUUAUAAUCUGAAUGUUGGGCUUGUAUUGUGUGUUUUUAAUUUGUUGGUCAU